rnacentral:rRNA from 1 species
CAACGCCGCGUGAGGGAUGACGGCCUUCGGGUUGUAAACCUCUUUUAGUAAGGAAGAAGGGAGCUUGCUCCUGACGGUACUUGCAGAAAAAGGACCGGCUAACUACGUGCCAGCAGCCGCGGUAAUACGUAGGGUCCGAGCGUUGUCCGGGAAUUAUUGGGCGUAAAGAGCUCGUAGGCGGUUUGUCACGUCUGCUGUGAAAUCCCGAGGCUCAACCUCGGGCCUGCAGUGGGUACGGGCAGACUGGAGUGCGGUAGGGGAGAAUGGAAUUCCUGGUGUAGCGGUGGAAUGCGCAGAUAUCAGGAGGAACACCGAUGGCGAAGGCAGUUCUCUGGGCCGUAACUGACGCUGAGGAGCGAAAGCAUGGGGAGCGAACAGGAUUAGAUACCCUGGUAGUCCAUGCCGUAAACGUUGGGCGCUAGAUGUGGGGACCUUUCCACGGUUUCCGUGUCGUAGCUAACGCAUUAAGCGCCCCGCCUGGGGAGUACGGCCGCAAGGCUAAAACUCAAAGGAAUUGACGGGGGCCCGCACAAGCGGCGGAGCAUGCGGAUUAAUUCGAUGCAACGCGAAGAACCUUACCAAGGCUUGACAUAACCGAGAACGCUGCAGAAAUGUGGAACUCUUUGGACACUCGGUUACAGGUGGUGCAUGGUUGUCGUCAGCUCGUGUCGUGAGAUGUUGGGUUAAGUCCCGCAACGAGCGCAACCCUCGUCGUAUGUUGCCAGCACGUAAUGGUGGGAACUCAUAUGAGACUGCCGGGGUCAACUCGGAGGAAGGUGGGGAUGACGUCAAAUCAUCAUGCCCCUUAUGUCUUGGGCUUCACGCAUGCUACAAUGGCCGGUACAAAGGGCUGCGAUGUCGUAAGGCGGAGCGAAUCCCAAAAAGCCGGUCUCAGUUCGGAUUGAGGUCUGCAACUCGACCUCAUGAAGUCGGAGUCGCUAGUAAUCGCAGAUCAGCAACGCUGCGGUGAAUACGUUCCCGGGCCUUGUACACACCGCCCGUCAAGUCAUGAAAGUCGGUAACACCCGAAGCCAGUGGCCUAACCGCAAGGAGGGAGCUUCGAAGGGAUCC